CACGUAGGGCGCAAGCGUUGUCCGGAAUUAUUGGGCGUAAAGAGCUCGUAGGCGGACUGUUGCGUCCGCUGUGAAAAGCUGGGGCUUAACCCUGGCCUUGCAGUGGAUACGGGCAGACUAGAGGUAGGUAGGGGAGAAUGGAAUUCCCGGUGUAGCGGUGAAAUGCGCAGAUAUCGGGAGGAACACCAAUGGCGAAGGCAGCUUGCUGGGCCUUUCUGACUGCUGAC
rnacentral:rRNA from 1 species